CUUCCGGUCUUUCUCAUAAUCGCUUGGUUGGAAGGAGAGCUAGCCUGUUCGCUUGCUGGUUGAGGGUAAUUUGAUAUUUCACCAUGUUAUUGGAAGCCUUGUGCAGUCAUCGCAUACAGUAUGGAUUUGGAUAAAGUUUGGUCAUGUGGACCGAUAGGUCUGAGAACACAUCCCUUCAUUUCUGGAGUUGUAUAUUCCGAAGUUUGCCUUUGCAUGGUGUGAUCACUAUGAGGGGUGACCACUAGGAGGUGCACUUGCUUUUUGAUCUCAUAUGGAUUGUUUGACCAGCAUUCAUCCAAUUGGGCUGAAAGACCAAAGGCUUCAAAUUGGAGUGUGGGAUUUGGCGUCCGGUGGAUGUAUGGAAGAUGUGGGUUGGUGAACAGUCUUCUGUGCAGAAAUUGUAAAGUUUCCCUGAGCUUCAUAAUUUGUGAUGCAUGAAAGUUUCUUUCAUAACUUGCAAUAAAAACUUAACACUA